rnacentral:tRNA from 1 species
CAGGUGUAGUUCAAUGGUAGAACUUCAGCCUUCCAAGCUGAUAACGUGGGUCCGAUUCCCAUCACCUG